rnacentral:rRNA from 1 species
UACAGAGGUCCCGAGCGUUGUUCGGAUUCAUUGGGCGUAAAGGGUGCGUAGGCGGUCUGCUAAGUUUGAUGUGAAAUCCCGGGGCUCAACCUUGGAAUGGCAUUGAAUACUGGUGGACUAGAGUACAGAAGGGGCAACUGGAAUUCUCGGUGUAGCGGUGAAAUGCGUAGAUAUCGAGAGGAACACCUGCGGCGAAGGCGGGUUGCUGGGCUGAUACUGACGCUGAGGCGCGAAAGCCAGGGGAGCGAACGGG